AACGAACGCUGGCGGCAUGCCUAACACAUGCAAGUCGAACGAGACCUUCGGGUCUAGUGGCGCACGGGUGCGUAACGCGUGGGAAUCUGCCUCGGGGUACGGAAUAACUCAGGGAAACUUGAGCUAAUACCGUAUGAUGUCUUCGGACCAAAGAUUUAUCGCCCUGAGAUAAGCCCGCGUAGGAUUAGCUAGUUGGUGAGGUAAGAGCUCACCAAGGCGACGAUCCUUAGCUGGUCUGAGAGGAUGAUCAGCCACACUGGAACUGAGACACGGUCCAGACUCCUACGGGAGGCAGCAGUGGGGAAUAUUGGACAAUGGGCGCAAGCCUGAUCCAGCCAUGCCGCGUGUGUGAAGAAGGCCUCGG
rnacentral:rRNA from 1 species